rnacentral:lncRNA from 1 species
UAACAAAUUCCAUCCACACAGUUGAUUUCUGGGUAUUUUUGAAAUAAUAAAAAUAAAAAUAUGAGUUCACAUUUUAAAGUUAAUUUUAUACAGUUUUGUGUAAACAUAUCUAAUAACAAAUAUGUCCCUUCAAAUUUUAACUUUUCAUAUUUAUUCAUACAAAAGUUCAGUAAUAUUUUUAUUUAUCGCUCUGAUUUGUUAUGGUUAAAGUAUAGUUUAUUUUUAACAAAAGAUAAGUAAAAUGACUUUUUUACCAUUACAAAUAUGUCCAUUCAAAAGUUUAAAUUGUUAGAAUUAUACAAAAAUAUCCUUCCAAAUUUUUUAACGAUUAUCUCCUUUUUUUCUACCAUUACAAAUAAUAUAAGAGAGAAAAAAAACCAAUUUACCUCAUUUAAUAAUUAUAAUUUUUCUAACGGAUCCUAAAAAUAGGAGUAUACUUAAAAACGUUAGGAUUUUUAUAUAGAUAAAUAUAAAAAGUUAAAAUUUAUAGGAAUAUAUCUGCUAUUCGAUAUAUUUAUAGAAAAUUAUAUGCAAUUAACCAUAUUAAUUAAUUUAGAGUGUUUUCCACC